GCAUUAAUAAUUUAAUUAAAAUUUUAGUCUUGUAAACUAAACAUAAGAACUCUUUCUUUUAGUGCU
rnacentral:tRNA from 1 species